UAUUGUAACUUUCCUGAGGGCUUGGCAGAUUAGGUGACAGAGGGAGACAGGAGGUGUCCAAAGGAGAAACACCGAGCACCCCAGAAAGACAAGACAAUGACUGAUCACUACCCCGGCUGCUGCAGAGCGUGGUCUGUGCUGCCCUGAGAACGAGCUGCACUUUAACCACGAGAGAUUGCUCUUUUCUGAGGAAAAACAGCAAAGCAUUCCCCUGUGUCGUGGGGUGCCGGGGAGGGGGGGUCUGGGGCCAGGGCCAGCCUCGUGUGGUGCAGCCCCUCACACAGGCCCCGCUCUGCCGGCCCUGCCCGCAGCCUCUGCCCAUGCCGGCAGCGCUGCCCGCUGCUCGCCACGGCUGUCCCCUGCCUUCUGCCAUCCCCGGCCAUCUGUGUCCCCUCCGCGGGGGCUGCUCUGCCACACAGCACCAUUGUCACUGCCUUGCCCACACUUGGCCCUGCACGGGGAGAGACAGCUGGGAGAGCACUGGGGCAGCCCUGCUCUUUGCAGUGGGUGAAAGCAAAUGGGCGUGUCGGGUCAGGGAGCUCCCCUGCAGCUGGCAAGGGUGACACAGCCCCGCAGGGCCAGCCCAGCACAGGAGGAGGAAACCCAUGGCUGCUGCUUGCUGUGAAAGUGCCUGCAAAAAAAUCGCCACACCACUCAGUGAGCUUUGUUUGUUUUAAAUAGGAGCACUUUGCUCCUUAAAUAAUACCUUAACUUCAAGCAUCUCAAAGCACAUAGCUCACUGGCUGAGCCUCAUCUUUCUGUGGAAAGGGUGUAGUCAGCCUGAAUUUGAAGAUCUGGCAAGCUGAACCGUCAGUAUCAGAGUAAUGGGACUGAGAAAUCUGAGAAAGAAAGUGGAGGCCAGAAUGAUGCUGAUUACACUGGAAGGUGUGACAGUUGGUUUAACUACUGGAGAACAGAAUUACAGACAUCCAUAGGAACUGAAGGAGCCUUACAAUAAAAAGACAGGGCAGAAAGGGCAGUCUGCAAAAUGGAGAACAUGAAGGUCUGCUGUGCCCUCUCUCUUGAAGCCUACAGCUUUGGGAAAAGCUGAAGAUACAGACUUAGGAAUCCUGAAUUUCUUUGACAUCCCCAAAUACAUUAAUUAAUAUUU